rnacentral:rRNA from 1 species
GACGAACGCUGGCGGCGUGCUUAACACAUGCAAGUCGAACGGAAAGGCCCUGCUUUUGUGGGGUGCGCGAGUGGCGAACGGGUGAGUAUCACGUGAGUAACCUGCCCUUGACUUUGGGAUAACUUCAGGAAACUGGGGCUAAUAUCGGACAGGAGCUCUUGCUGCAUGGUGUGGGUGGGAAAGUUUCGGCGGUUGGGGAUGGACUCGCGGCUUAGCAGCUUGUUGGUGGGGUAGUGGCUUACCAAGGCUUUGACGGGUAGCCGGACUGAGAGGGUGACCGGCCACAUUGGGACAGGGAUACGAGCCAGACUCCUUCGGGGGGCAGCAGUGGGGGAUAGUGCAAGAUGGGCGGAAGCCUGGUGCAGCAACGCCGCGUGCGGGAUGACGGCCUGCGGGUUGUAAACCGCUUUAGAGUGUGAAGAAGAGUGAGUGACGGUAAUGAGUAAAGAAGCACCGGCUAACUACGUG